rnacentral:tRNA from 1 species
UGGUCCAGUAGUUAGGACUCAGUACUUUCACUGCUGGGACCCAGGUUCAAUCCCUGG